UCCAGCUUGCAAAAUUGGCCAAUCAGCGAGCUAGAAGGGCCAUUCAGAUUGAUAUUCGACCACUGGCUUUUUAGAAAAGUGCAUUGGUGGCACUAGCCUGACAGUUCGUAACACAUAACCCCAUAAUCUGUAUAUAAACCCUAUUCCAAUACCUUUAAAGUUAAGUUCUAAUCCAGACUUCACAGUGUACAGUGCUCCUCCUUUGCUUGAAUAAAUUAUGCUCUUAAAAUCAGUGCCUUGGUGUUUCAGUGUUCUAGUGCAUACUACAAAUUAGGAUUUCCCCAGUGUCGCCAUUUGAUUUGUCUUGAGUCUUGACAAUGGGAACGAGAUCCGAAUCAUUACAAAAUUGGCGCAACGCGUAGGAUACCGACUCCAUCACGUCCAUCAAAAAGGAACUGACCAAGACAAAUCUACAUCCCGCAAUGGCAAAUGACCAUCCAAGGAAGGCACACAUUAAAUUAAGGCACUCACAGCUAGAAGGUAGCAAGCCCAACCCCGAUCCCAAUCCUUGCAACACCACCCAACCCAAUUGCAUCUCCCUUCACCGUGGCUCACCACGAAGUACAAGAAAGAAUGAUUUAACAAAUCAGAGAGAUGGAAGGCCGUAUUAGUGCCCUCCAAGACCAGAAUGGAAAUCUUCUUCAAAUGCAAGCCCAGAACCCAGGCCCACAGAACGGUACCAUGCAACUUAGCAUGCCCACUGUAGUAUCGCUUAUAUAUAAUGCUGUAUACGCGGCGCUUUAUGUGUAAUGCACGGUACAUUUUUCUCUCUCAGCUGAUACGAAAAAUACACACACACACUUGUUCUUGUUUCCACCAUGCGUGUCUCUUCUUUGUUCUCCGUCCUCAUCGAGGCCACGCCCCCCCAUCCUCCAUGGCGCAGUUCUAGUCUUUGGACCACGCUCACGCCACAUGCCCACAAGUCUCCCACUUCAAUUGCCUCUCGUCUUCCUUCUGUCAUCUUUGCCGAUAUCCCAAGCUGAGAGGGAGCACGUCGUCUCCGCCCUUGAGCUAUGUCACGUUCAAAGGUUAGAUCACCAUGGGUGUCAAAGAGCAAAUCUUGAACAGGAAGUCGCAAGUGACAAAGAAGUUGAAUAAGAUCCUUGAGCUGGAUAAGCCCGGUGCGGGGUGAACCGCCAGUGGAGCCUCUUAAGUAAGGUGGAGAUGAAACUGGAGGAGAUGACAGUGUUUUUUUAUGACGAUUUGAUUGCCGAACAGGCCUUGGUCGAGGUCAACGCCAAACCGACCCAUGAGGAGAAAACCAAGGCAGUGGACGAUUACAGCAUGGCCCGCAAGAAGACCAAGACCGCACCCUUUGCGUCUUUGUCAGUGUCAGCACGACAGCAAGAGCGGGCAGUGGAUGAGGAGCAAGAACGCCCUUGGCAGUUCAAGUCUGUCCCAGAGAUGAAACCACUAUUGCUGUUGUCGGAAGCAGAACCGUUUCAGAUGCGAGUCUGGAUCAAUUUUUUUUGCAUAUAUUUCAAUGUAUCGCAUGCGGAGUCAAUGAACAACGAUGGCCAGAAGGGCCUUUUAAAGCUUUUAAAACUUUCCUUGCCAGCAACCUCUGCGUUGCCAUUGAGGAGGAAAUCCGGAAUGCGGCAUCGGUGGAGGCUUGCUACUUGAUCCUAGAAAAACAUUUUCACAAUCAAGGCGGACGCCACACCACCGCCAGACUCCACGCCGGAUUUGGAGACACUUCCACCUUUGUCCGCAGAGCAAGUCGCAGAAAACGAGAAAGCCAUCAGCAAGAUUGAAGAUCAAUCCCGGUACACUAUGAAGAACCGUCGACAGUUUUGCGAGAGGAAUUGCUGCACGCUAAGAUGAUGGUUUGGUGCCCGGAGCCAACGGAGUGGUGCGCGCCCGCCCAUUUUCUGCCAAAACCGAACGGCAAGGUGAGGAUGGUUGUGAACUACUGGAGGUUGAACAAGGCAACAAAGCGCCCAGUCCAUCCUUUAUCCUCAGUCCCUGAUCUAAUGCACCAGAUUCAAUUGGAGAGCAGAUGGUUUGCAAAGUUGGACGCCAUACACGGAUUCUUCCAGAUCCACUGGACAAGAAGUCCUCGUAAUUGUUUUUGCGUUCUUAUUGCCCAAUGGUAAGUACCGCCCACUGGUCGCCCCCAUGGGCUGGAAGGGAAGCGGGGACGUCUCAGGAUCAGUUUAUCCACUGUGUGGAUUGUGCUGUGCGACAGAUCCGGGAAAGUGUGCUACAAGUUAAGAGACUCAACGAAACCAUCCAUGAUUUAGUCCUACACGAGAUGAAAUAUGAGAGUCAAGUGGCUGGACAACAGCAGUAACCUAUGUAGAGGUCUUCCACAAGCUUCCUUGCCAUACUGACAUCAAGAACGGCAAUCUAAGCAUUGUGGUUCCAGUGCCCAUCUAUAACAUCAAGGAAACAUUUGCCCUAUACCAACAUCUGGCCAUGCUCAUCUUCACCAAACAAGGCCAGGAAGUGCUAGUGCAGAACCCCAAGGACUACCUUAUCCUGAAUGAAGAAGGUACUCUACACCAGGAAUUCAAUCAGGCCGACCCAAGCACUUGCCUUAAGGUGCGACAACUCUACUUAUGCCCGCAAGUACAAGUGCUGAGGAAGACAACCACCACCAGCUGCCAUUUUGCCCUUUUUCAAGGCCAUACUACGAACAUCAAGGAGAAAUGCCCCUUGGCCAUCCCACCACCGAGCCGAGGGAUGGAAUUCCAUGAAGCAGGACCUGAAACCUUUUUGGUCCUAGCCCGUCAACUAGAGAAAGCCCAAAUCACCUGCCACAAUGGAACUACUACGGAAAGAGACUAUAUGCUGGGGACUUUCAUGUUGACACUCCCUAAUAUUUGCAUGUUCAACACCAAGGAUUCAUACAUCUCGGCGACCCGGACAGGAUGAAUAGGACAAGAGGUAGUAAUAGUCAGACCUCUGACCAUCCCACCUAUAGAUCUGCUCACCCUGAUCAGAGAGACCUUUAACUAGAGGAGUGGACAUCAGCAGAGCUAGACCAAUUUUUCUAUUUGUCACAGCUCUUUGAUGGAGGUCUGAAUGGAAACACUCAGUAAAGCACUUCCAUUUGAGGUCAAACUGGAGAUACUUUAUAUAAUUCAUAAAUACCUAAUCUUAAAACUCUAGAAUUUCUUUACAUAAACCAGAAACCUUCGAUAUUUUCAUAUAAAAUAAGAUAAAUCAACAUUUUGUCAUAAAAACACAACUUUUUUCUUUUUAAUUGCUGUUUCAUAAUGUAUGGUAUUAUCCUUUGUGACUUUUGGGGAGCUGAAAUGUUGUUUUCACAAAGUGGCCUAGCUUUGCCAGUUGUCAUGUCCAAUCCUCCUGUUAAAGGUAUCCUUGCCCUGAUCAACCACCCUCAUACGCACGACCCCAUCCAGGAAGACAAUCUACGACAUAUGUUAGCCCAAUGGAAUGUCACCAGAGCGCGGGAACCCCUACCCCAGACCAACUUCACCACAGCUGCCCUCCGUGCCAACCUCACCAGAACCCAUAUUCCAGUCAGGUACAAAGUCGCCACCCUCCUAGUAUUAUUACGUUUGGACACACCUAUCAUUGGCUACGCCACUUACCUCUGCCGACAACAUUGGCAACAUCAACAUCGAUACCCUUCGGCCGCACUUCAGCUGCACGUUACCAGUAACCGCAAUCCAGUGGACCACCCUAGUAGCUCAGUACGGAGUGACGCUUCGAGGACGCAGCAGCCUUUGUUACCCUACCCGGGGGUAACUGUAGUGAAAGAGUAACUUGAAGCUCUGUAAAACCAGUUCGCAAGAAUGUUUUAGAAUAAAAGAACGAUAUCGAAU